rnacentral:rRNA from 1 species
CAGUCGCCGCGGUAAUACGUAGGGUGCGAGCGUUAAUCGGAAUUACUGGGCGUAAAGCGUGCGCAGGCGGUUUUGUAAGACAGGCGUGAAAUCCCCGGGCUCAACCUGGGAACUGCAUUUGUGACUGUAGAGCUGGAGUGCGGCAGAGGGGGAUGGAAUUCCGCGUGUAGCAGUGAAAUGCGUAGAUAUGCGGAGGAACACUGAUGGCGAAGGCAAUCCCCUGGGCCUGCACUGACGCUCAUGCACGAAAGCGUGGGGAGCAAACAGGAUUAGAUACCCCCGUAGUCCCUGUCUCUUAUAC